rnacentral:rRNA from 1 species
CCUGGCUCAGAUUGAACGCUGGCGGCAGGCCUAACACAUGCAAGUCGAGCGGUAGAGAGGUGCCUUGCAUCUCUUGAGAGCGGCGGACGGGUGAGUAAUGCCUAGGAAUCUGCCUAGUGGUGGGGGAUAACGUUCGGAACGGACGCUAAUACCGCAUACGUCCUACGGGAGAAAGCGGGGGAUCUUCGGACCUCGCGCCAUUAGAUGAGCCUAGGUCGGAUUAGCUAGUUGGUGAGGUAAUGGCUCACCAAGGCGACGAUCCGUAACUGGUCUGAGAGGAUGAUCAGUCACACUGGAACUGAGACACGGUCCAGACUCCUACGGGAGGCAGCAGUGGGGAAUAUUGGACAAUGGGCGAAAGCCUGAUCCAGCCAUGCCGCGUGUGUGAAGAAGGUCUUCGGAUUGUAAAGCACUUUAAGUUGGGAGGAAGGGUAGUAACCUAAUACGUUGCUACUUUGACGUUACCGACAGAAUAAGCACCGGCUAACUUCGUG